AACGAACGCUGGCGGCGUGCUUAACACAUGCAAGUCGAACGCGAAAGCUCUUCGGAGUGAGUAGAGUGGCGCACGGGUGAGUAAUGGAUAGGAACAUACCUUUUGGUGGGGAAUAACCUCGGGAAACCGAAGCUAAUACCGCAUAUGAUCGCAAGAUCAAAGGAGGCCUCUACUUGUAAGCUUCCGCCAAUAGAUUGGCCUAUCUCCCAUUAGCUUGUUGGCAGGGUAAAGGCCUACCAAGGCUACGAUGGGUAGCUGGUCUGAGAGGAUGAUCAGCCACACUGGAACUGAGACACGGUCCAG
rnacentral:rRNA from 1 species